GAACCACGCCACUGACAAGUGGGACCCACGUUCGUGUCCCCCCAUGUCAGUGACUGCAGCCCCACCUCCAAAAAAAUCCGUAACUCUCGCCUCACCGGCCACCGCUCCUCCCCCCCACAUGAGCGGCGAUGACGUCGAGGGUUCUCGUCUCCUCCUCCUCCUCCUCCUCCUCCGCCGCCGCCGCCGCAUUCCUGCCGCGAAUUCCGAACCCCUGCGCGAACCCUAGCCACCGCGGCGCGCCUCCUUGCGGGGCGGCGCUCUGGCGGCACCAUUCUGGCCGUGCGGUCACCACGGCCGCGGCCGCCGCCGCCACCGGCGACCACUGGGGCGCUGAGUACCACGGCGGCGGAGGCGGGCGCGGCGGGAAGAGCGCCGCGGGCCCCGGCGUGCAGUGCGACGUGGACGUGGUGUCGUGGCGCGAGCGGCGGGUGUUCGCGUCCGUGGCGGUGGCCGCCGACGUCGACACCGUGUGGCGCGUCAUCACCGACUACGAGCGGCUCGCCGAAUUCAUCCCCAACCUCGUUCACAGUGGGAGGAUUCCAUGCCCGCAUCAGGGCCGAGUAUGGCUCGAGCAGAGGGGGCUGCAGCAAGCGCUUUACUGGCAUAUCGAGGCACGCGUCGUGUUGGAUCUCAAGGAGGUUCCGGAUGCUGUUAAUGGACGAGAGCUCCACUUCUCCAUGGUUGAUGGUGACUUUAAGAAGUUCGAAGGGAAAUGGUCCAUCAGAUCUGGUCCAAGGUCAUCUAGUGCAAUUUUGUUGUAUGAAGUUAAUGUGAUUCCAAGAUUUAAUUUCCCAGCAAUAUUUCUUGAGAGGAUCAUAAGGUCGGAUCUUCCUGUGAAUCUUGGAGCGUUGGCCUGUAGAGCUGAAAACAUAUAUUUAGGAAACCAAAGACAUGGAACUGCAAAAUUUAGUGGUGCAGGCUCCAGGUUUCAUAACUUCCGUAAUGCAACCACUGAGAAUGAUGCCAUUGCUCCUAGUAAGUUCAAAGAAACACCUCCUUCUGGUCUUGGUGGUGUGCUUGCUUCACCUCCUUCUGAGUUGAACAGCAAAUGGGGAGUAUAUGGAAAUGUCUGCAGACUUGAUAGGCCGUGUGUGGUAGAUGAGAUCCAUCUUCGAAGAUUUGAUGGUCUCCUGGAACAUGAAGGGGCUCACAGGUUUGUGUUUGCUAGUAUCACUGUGAAAGCGCCAGUGCGAGAAGUAUGGAAUAUUCUCACUGCAUAUGAGAAGUUGCCUGAAUUUGUGCCGAAUCUGGCUAUCAGUAGGAUUAUUCGUCGGGAUAAUAACAAGGUUCGCAUACUGCAGGAGGGUUGCAAGGGUCUACUUUAUAUGGUGCUUCAUGCCCGUGUUGUUAUGGAUCUUCGCGAGAAACUUGAACGUGAGAUAAGCUUUGAGCAAGUUGAAGGUGAUUUCUACUCAUUUAAAGGAAAAUGGCGCCUAGAACAACUUGGUGAUCAGCACACCUUAUUGAAGUAUAUGGUUGAGACUAAGAUGCAUAAAGAUACCUUUCUCUCAGAGUCUAUCCUUGAAGAGGUCAUAUAUGAAGAUCUUCCAUCAAACUUAUGUGCAAUCCGUGAUUAUAUUGAAAAGGCAGAAGCUGAGAGCGGUAACUCCACAAGUAGCUCUAUUGUAGCAUCAAAUGCAGAUACUAUUGCUAUUGAUUAUGCAGAAGGUAGGCAAUCAGAACAAGCAUCCACGUCAUGUUCUUCGAGUCCUGUGAAGCAGAGACCAAAAGUCCCAGGCCUUCAAAAGGACAUUGAGGUCCUCAAAUCUGAACUUGAGAAAUUUAUUGCAAAAUAUGGUCAGGAUGGCUUCAUGCCUAAGAGAAAACACCUUCGUUUGCAUGGAAGGGUGGAUAUCGAGAAGGCAAUAACACGCAUGGGUGGGUUCAGGAAGAUUGCCAGCAUAAUGAAUCUUUCACUUUCUUAUAAAAACCGGAAACCAAGAGGUUAUUGGGAUAAUCUGGAGAACUUGCAAGAAGAGAUCAGGCGAUUCCAGAAGAAUUGGGGGAUGGACCCUGCUUAUAUGCCAAGUAGAAAGUCCUUUGAGAGAGCAGGACGUUAUGACAUUGCUCGGGCGUUGGAAAAAUGGGGUGGAGUACACGAGGUUUCUCGCCUUCUUUCUCUUGAACUCAGACGACCUAGAAGGCGAGCCAACUCUGAUGAUGAGAGUAAGGCUGGAUCCUCAUAUGCCAUAACAAAUAAACACGCAAGCAAGCCAAACAAACCAAGCGUUUCUCCGGACAAACAGAAAUGGCUCCUGAAGCUGAAGGAUCUGGAUGCUAAUUGGAUUGAGUACUAACUAGGAGGACUUCACUAAUACGGUCCUUCAAAUUUAUCAUCUGACUUCAAUGAAGAAGGAUCUGAUAAUCAUGUACAGAUAAAGGUGGGCAAGUUUCUUGCCUACAAUACUGGAUUACAACACUAACUGCCAACUUUGUUGUUGCAACCGAAUUGAAGUGCAGAACUGGUAAGAAUGGAAUUAUUUUAAACCCAGGGCAUGUUCAAAGUUAUUCAUUGACAUUUGAACCCCGCCUUUUGUUCAUCCUGUCCAAGCUCACAAACAUUGGAAAAGCUGAGGAUGAUUACUUGUGUGGUUACACUAAUUGUUCUUGGGCAUUGGCUGACCGGGAGGCAGGAGACCUGGAGAAAGACCGUAUAUGACAGUUCAAUUGGUGGUGGGUGAGACUGGCGAAUAUCUUAGUUCGGACUGCUCUUAUCAUGGCUGAAUGUUUCUUCGGUGUCACAUGUUAAACUACGAGAAGCUAAGAUAAGGACGAUAAGUGGUCCAACAAUAAAAGGACAUGACACUUAGUUCGUUUUGAUCAAGAAAAUGACUUCAACAGUUUGAGGGUAGGAGGAAUUCUGUCGGUAAGGUUGUUAUUGUUUUGGAAACUUAUGGCUCCAACAUCAUAAUCAUCAGUAACUUCGCAUAAAUGCACCUAAGAAAAGGAAAGGAUAUGCAGUUUGCGUCAAGAAGUUGUUUAGACAGUGAUGAUGUUAAAUGCAGUGAUGCAAAAAGAUUAGUAAAACUAAAAAAAAAGGUCCCACCGGGAUUCGAACCCAGGUCGCCAGAUUCAAAGUCUGGAGUGCUAACCACUACACUAUGGAACCAUUUUACUUCAUUUUCUUAACUAAAGCAAUUGGCCAAUAAAUCUAGGUUCAAGUUGGAAUGUGCCGGUAUUUUCUGAAUGUAACACCGAUGAGUCUGCUUGCUAAACAGGAAGCUUAUAAAUCAGUGAGUCUAAGCUCAACAACAUUCUUCAGUGACUGCUUCUGAAUGAAUAGCUGAACAAGGGGCCAAGACUCAAGAACAGCUGUGUGCUCAUAAAUCUAGCAUUAAAUAAGACCCAGUAUAAGCCUUAAUCACAUGUUUCCUCAGCUACUACGCAAUUGCAAGCUCUCCAUGGACAUGGAGAUGCAAUUGCCAGUGAUGACACAUGAUGCAGGCAAUUUGAUCUUUGGAAAGGGUUGUCAUGGGUCCCAUGCAUUUAAUUUAAUGGAAUAAAGGUUGAUAGAGAAGUUUGUUGAAAGUUCCUGCACAUGUUUUUGUGUACUAUCAAUCUGCCAGAUUGCUCAUGCCUUGCCCCAAAUGCCAAAACAAUCUCUUACCAGUAGUAUGCAUGUGAGUGUGAGGCAAGCUGCUUCUCAGUACUGAACAAACUGAAGUAGCUGAAUUUUUAUUGAUCUGCUUAUCUCUGCCUUUGCUUUAGCUUCCCCAAAACCAUAAUCUACAAUCAGACAAGCUAUUGCAUCUA